rnacentral:rRNA from 1 species
AAGUGCGAUCAUACUAACACUAAAGCACCGAGUAGGAUGGGUGAUGUGCACUUGGGCAAGAGUAGUACUAGAUGGGUGAUCCCAUGGGAAGUGCACAUGUUGCACACC